rnacentral:lncRNA from 1 species
AAUCAACUUUUUUGAACAAUAAAUUGCUCUAUUCUAACAGAGAAAGUCUACUGUAUAAAAAAUACAUUACAUUAUCUAUAUUUAGCUAAUCAUAUUUUAAAAAAUAUUAUAUAAUAAAAAAUUAAUAAAAUAAAUAAUUUUUUAUAAUAAUAUAAAUUGUUAUAUUUGUUUCAGAUAUUACUACAUCAGUAAUAUAAUUGUUCAUA